AGCGGUUCUCAGGUGACGCACCCCGGAAUGAGAGAGGAUGGAGCCGAUUCUGGGGUGCAUCACCUGAGAACUGCC
rfam:Myotis lucifugus cont2.20933, whole genome shotgun sequence.